GUACUCUGGUUUCUCUUCAGAUCUUAUAAAUCUUUCGCCUUUUACUAAAGAUUUUUGUGGAGAGGAACAUUUAUGAGUUUGUAACCAAUUUUAGGAGCGCUGGUGGCACAGUGG